rfam:Pteropus alecto contig99852, whole genome shotgun sequence.
UCAUCAGAUAGGAUAAUCCUUACCUGUUCCUCCUGUGGAGGCCAGAUUAGAACAUGAUUGAAUUUGCAUGAUUCGUGAUUAUCAUUUCUGCGUAAUCAGGGUUCACAACAAAAAAAGGAAUAUACUAAAAUAAGAC